rnacentral:rRNA from 1 species
GCAGUCGACGGUAGCACAGAGGAGCUUGCUCCUCGGGUGACGAGUGGCGGACGGGUGAGUAAUGUCUGGGAAACUGCCCGAUGGAGGGGGAUAACUACUGGAAACGGUAGCUAAUACCGCAUAACGUCGCAAGACCAAAGUGGGGGACCUUCGGGCCUCACACCAUCGGAUGUGCCCAGAUGGGAUUAGCUAGUAGGUGGGGUAACGGCUCACCUAGGCGACGAUCCCUAGCUGGUCUGAGAGGAUGACCAGCCACACUGGAACUGAGACACGGUCCAGACUCCUACGGGAGGCAGCAGUGGGGAAUAUUGCACAAUGGGCGCAAGCCUGAUGCAGCCAUGCCGCGUGUAUGAAGAAGGCCUUCGGGUUGUAAAGUACUUUCAGCGGGGAGGAAGGCGAUGCGGUUAAUAACCGCGUCGAUUGACGUUACCCGCAGAAGAAGCACCGGCUAACUCCGUGCCAGCAGCCGCGGUAAUACGGAGGGUGCAAGCGUUAAUCGGAAUUACUGGGCGUAAAGCGCACGCAGGCGGUCUGUCAAGUCGGAUGUGAAAUCCCCGGGCUUAACCUGGGAACUGCAUUCGAAACUGGCAGGCUAGAGUCUUGUAGAGGGGGGUAGAAUUCCAGGUGUAGCGGUGAAAUGCGUAGAGAUCUGGAGGAAUACCGGUGGCGAAGGCGGCCCCCUGGACAAAGACUGACGCUCA